UAAUACGGAGGAUCCAAGCGUUAUCCGGAUUUAUUGGGUUUAAAGGGUGCGCAGGCGGUCUUAUAAGUCAGUGGUGAAAUCUCUCGGCUCAACCGAGAAACUGCCAUUGAUACUGUAGGGCUAGAAUACAGACGAGGUAGGCGGAAUGUAGCAUGUAGCGGUGAAAUGCUUAGAUAUGCUACAGAACACCGAUCGCGAAGGCAGCUUACCAGACUGUUAUUGACGCUAAUGCACGAAAGCGUGGGGAGCGAACAGGAUUAGAUACCCUGGUAGUCCACGCCGUAAGCGAUGAUUACUCGAUGUUGGUGAUAUACAAUCAGCGUCCACGCGAAAGCUUUAAGUAAUCCACCUGGGGAGUACGAUCGCAAGGUUA
rnacentral:rRNA from 1 species